rnacentral:rRNA from 1 species
AGUCGAGCGGACGGAUGGGAGCUUGCUCCCUGAUGUUAGCGGCGAACGGGUGAGUACCACGUGGGCAACCUGCCCUGUAGACUGGGAUAACAUCGAGAAAUCGGUGCUAAUACCGGAUAAUCUUGAGGAUCACAUGAUCUUCUUGUGAAAGAUGGCUCCGGCUAUCACUACAGGAUGGGCCCGCGGCGCAUUAGCUAGUUGGUGAGGUAACGGCUCACCAAGGCGACGAUGCGUAGCCGACCUGAGAGGGUGAUCGGCCACACUGGGACUGAGACACGGCCCAGACUCCUACGGGAGGCAGCAGUAGGGAAUCUUCCGCAAUGGACGAAAGUCUGACGGAGCAACGCCGCGUGAGUGAUGAAGGGUUUCGGCUCGUAAAGCUCUGUUGUUAGGGAAGAACAAGUAUCGUUCGAAUAGGGCGGUACCUUGACGGUACCUAACCAGAAAGCCACGGCUAACUACGUGCCAGCAGCCGCGGUAAUACGUAGGUGGCAAGCGUUGUCCGGAAUUAUUGGGCGUAAAGCGCGCGCAGGCGGUUUCUUAAGUCUGAUGUGAAAGCCCCCGGCUCAACCGGGGAGGGUCAUUGGAAACUGGGAGACUUGAGUACAGAAGAGGAGAGUGGAAUUCCACGUGUAGCGGUGAAAUGCGUAGAUAUGUGGAGGAACACCAGUGGCGAAG